GAUGAACGCUGGCGGCGUGCCUAAUACAUGCAAGUCGAGCGAACGGACGAGAAGCUUGCUUCUCUGAUGUUAGCGGCGGACGGGUGAGUAACACGUGGAUAACCUACCUAUAAGACUGGGAUAACUUCGGGAAACCGGAGCUAAUACCGGAUAAUAUUUUGAACCGCAUGGUUCAAAAGUGAAAGACGGUCUUGCUGUCACUUAUAGAUGGAUCCGCGCUGCAUUAGCUAGUUGGUAAGGUAACGGCUUACCAAGGCAACGAUGCAUAGCCGACCUGAGAGGGUGAUCGGCCACACUGGAACUGAGACACGGUCCAGACUCCUACGGGAGGCAGCAGUAGGGAAUCUUCCGCAGUGGGCGAAAGCCUGACGGAGCAACGCCGCGUGAGUGAUGAAGGUCUUCGGAUCGUAAAACUCUGUUAUUAGGGAAGAACAUAUGUGUAAGUAACUGUGCACAUCUUGACGGUACCUAAUCAGAAAGCCACGGCUAACUACGUGCCAGCAGCCGCGGUAAUACGUAGGUGGCAAGCGUUAUCCGGAAUUAUUGGGCGUAAAGCGCGCGUAGGCGGUUUUUUAAGUCUGAUGUGAAAGCCCACGGCUCAACCGUGGAGGGUCAUUGGAAACUGGAAAACUUGAGUGCAGAAGAGGAAAGUGGAAUUCCAUGUGUAGCGGUGAAAUGCGCAGAGAUAUGGAGGAACACCAGUGGCGAAGGCGACUUUCUGGUCUGUAACUGACGCUGAUGUGCGAAAGCGUGGGGAUCAAACAGGAUUAGAUACCCUGGUAGUCCACGCCGUAAACGAUGAGUGCUAAGUGUUAGGGGGUUUCCGCCCCUUAGUGCUGCAGCUAACGCAUUAAGCACUCCGCCUGGGGAGUACGACCGCAAGGUUGAAACUCAAAGGAAUUGACGGGGACCCGCACAAGCGGUGGAGCAUGUGGUUUAAUUCGAAGCAACGCGAAGAACCUUACCAAAUCUUGACAUCCUUUGACAACUCUAGAGAUAGAGCUUUCCCCUUCGGGGGACAAAGUGACAGGUGGUGCAUGGUUGUCGUCAGCUCGUGUCGUGAGAUGUUGGGUUAAGUCCCGCAACGAGCGCAACCCUUAAGCUUAGUUGCCAUCAUUAAGUUGGGCACUCUAAGUUGACUGCCGGUGACAAACCGGAGGAAGGUGGGGAUGACGUCAAAUCAUCAUGCCCCUUAUGAUUUGGGCUACACACGUGCUACAAUGGACAAUACAAAGGGCAGCGAAACCGCGAGGUCAAACAAAUCCCAUAAAGUUGUUCUCAGUUCGGAUUGUAGUCUGCAACUCGACUGCAUGAAGCUGGAAUCGCUAGUAAUCGUAGAUCAGCAUGCUACGGUGAAUACGUUCCCGGGUCU
rnacentral:rRNA from 1 species